ACACCCUGACCCGCAUCGCCCUGGGUCUCUCGAGCCUGCUGCCUGCUCCCCCGCCCCACCAGCCAUGGUGGUUUCUGGAGCGCCCCCAGCCCCGGGUGGGGGCUGUCUCGGCACCUUCACCUCCCUGCUGCUGCUGGCGUCGACAGCCAUCCUCAAUGCGGCCAGGAUACCUGUUCCCCCAGCCUGUGGGAAGCCCCAGCAGCUGAACCGGGUUGUGGGCGGCGAGGACAGCACUGACAGCGAGUGGCCCUGGAUCGUGAGCAUCCAGAAGAAUGGGACCCACCACUGCGCAGCAACCUGAACAAACCAUCCCUGUUCUCUGUGCUGCUGGGGGCCUGGCAGCUGGGGAACCCUGGCUCUCGGUCCCAGAAGGUGGGUGUUGCCUGGGUGCAGCCCCACCCUGUGUAUUCCUGGAAGGAGGGUGCCCGUGCGGACAUUGCCCUGGUGCGUCUCGAGCGCUCCAUACAGUUCUCAGAGCGGGUCCUGCCCAUCUGCCUACCUGAUGCCUC
rnacentral:sRNA from 1 species